GAUCAGCUCAGUUGACCAGAGCGUGGUGCUGAUAACACCAAGGUUGCAGGUUCGAUCCCUGCAUGGGACA
rnacentral:tRNA from 1 species